rnacentral:tRNA from 1 species
GGGGUUGUAGCUCAGUGGUAGAGCGCUUGCCUAGCAUGUAUGAGGCACUGGGUUUGAUUCUCAGCACCACA